rnacentral:lncRNA from 10 species
GUAAAAAUGGCUGCCAACAGCCCUCGGCCCGUAUCCCCUGCUUAGUAACACUGUUGGAAUGAGCCAGUCUUCCCUUCAAGUGCUCAUGGAGAAUUCUGGGGGAGGACACUGAUUGGUCCAGCUUGGGUCACAAGGGUAUCUUUCCACCAAUGACUUUCACCAGGAUGGGAUUCUCUGAUUGGUUCAGCUUGUGUCACAUGACAUCUUGUAGUAGGGAUUGAAGAGAGACCAGCUUCAUCUCCACUCGACCAACAUGAUGCAGGUUUUCUACUGGAAUGCCGAGUUAUUUCAGGACAAGGGGGAAGAGCUACAGGCCAGUCAACAACACCAGCUGCCCAUCCCAGCAGGAUCACUCUAAGGCAUCCCCUUUACCAUGCAUCACUUGGGGCUGGGCUGAAGAGGUGAUUCCAGCUCCAGUGAAUAAGUACAAGCUAAGAACAAGUGACAGCACUGAACAGAAAGCAAGCCAAAAAGGGUCUUUAGCUGCUUUGCUCAGAACUGGAAUCCUUGUGCAUUUGCUGUCUGGAGAACUGAGUAACGAAAAUGCUGGGGCUGGGCCCAAGCCUGAUAUUCAAGCAGACCUUGAUAAAGCGCUCUGAGAAAUUGCCUUGCUUCAGGCUGGGUCCCUGCCAUGUGACAAUGGACACAGCGCUGAAGAACCAACUAUGAACAAGACAAAAGAUUGCUGCCCUCAUGGAACUUUCUGUCCAGAUGGAGAGACAGACAAUUAAACAGGACUGGAGCCCUUAUAAGAAGAUGGAGAGACACCAGAGAAAUGAAGACACGGCAAGAAGGUGGCCACCUGCAAGCCAAGGAGAGAGGCCUCACCAGAAGCCCUGUUGGCACCUUGAUCUCGAACUUCCAGUCUCCAGAACUGUGAGACAAUAAAUCUAUGUUGUUUAAAAUACUUACCCUAAGGUAUUCUGUUAUGACAGCCCUAGCAGACUAAUAUACCCCCAAAUGGAAUAAUAAUAAUAAUGAUAUACAGAGAUGAUUAUGCAUCAAGCAAAGUUCUAAGUGCCAUGCAAAUAUUAAUGUAUUUAAUCUACACAGGCUACACAGGAAUUUUAUGAGGAAGAUACUUGUAUUAUUUUCAUUUUAUAAUUGAGGAAAUUGAAUUACAUAGAGGUUAAGUGAUUUUACCCAUGAUCAUGCAGCUAGUAAGUAGUGGACCUAGGAUUUGAACUAGGCAAUCUGGUUCCAGAGGGCAUGCUCUAAACCAGUAGUCUCCAACAUUUUUGGCACCAGGGGAUGGUUUCAUGGAAGACAAUUCUCCCGUGGACUGGGGUAGGGGAUGAUUUAACUGCAUUACAUUUAUUGUGCACUUUAUUUCUAUUUUUAUUACACUGUAAUAUAUAAUGAAAUAAUUAUACAACUCACCAGAAUGUAGAAUCAGUGAGAGCCCUGAGCUUGUUUUCCUGCAACUAGAUGGUCCCAUCUAGGGGUGAUGGGAGAUGGUGACAGAUCAUCAGGCAUUAGAUUCCCAUAAGGAGUGCACAACCUAGAACCCUCCCAUGUGCAGUUCACAAUAGGGUUUGUGAUCCUAUGAGAAUUUAAUGCUGUUCCUGAUCUGACAGGAGGCGGAGCUCAGGUGGUAAUACAAGUGAUGGGGAGUGGCUGUAAAUACAGAUGAAGCUUCUCUCACUUGGCCCCCCACUCACCUCCUUCUGUGCAGCCUGGUUCCUAACAAGUUACAGACCUGUGCCAGUCCAUGGCCUGGGGGUUGGGGACCCCUGCUGUAAACCACAGAUACUAUCUCUCUAAGAAGAUAUUAGAAUUAUGGUGACGUAUUUAAAUUGCAUGCAAAGAUAGUAUUAGGUGUUAUUUUGAAAGUAGGUUAAAAACAUAUACAGUGAUAUGUAUAGAUUAUGUAUAUAUAGAGAGAUAUACACACAUACAUAAUUUCUAAUCAUCAGUGCUUACAUAUAUUAUUAUUUCAUAUAUAGUUCAUAUAUAUAUAUUUACUGAUAUGGUCUGAAUGUUUGAGUCCCCCCAAAAUUCAUAUAUUAAAAUCAUAGCCCCCAAAGCAAUGAUAUUAGGAGGUAGGGCUUUAAGGAGGUGAUUAGCUCAUGAGUGUGGGGCCUUCAUGCAACUAGUACCUUUAUAAAGGAGACCCAAGAAAAACCCCAUCAUUUUUCCUCCAUGUGAAGACACAGUAAGAAGACACCAUCUAUGAAUCUAUGAGGAAGCAGGCCCUCACCAGACACCAAAUGUGCUGGUUCCUAGAUCUUGGACUUCCCAGCCUCCAGAACUGUGAGAAAUAAAUUUCUGUUGGUUAUAAUCUACCUAGUUUAUGCUAUUUUGUUAUAGAACCUCAGGAAGACUAAGAUAUACAUACAGAGAUAGAGAGACAUUAAAUAUAUAUACACACAUUAUAUAUGAGACACAUAUUUAUACAUAUUAUAUAUACAUUAAAAUAUUUUAUGUAAACAUAGCAAAUACUCUAAAACAUUAUCUAUGGCCAUCUCUGAGUGGUAGGAAUAAUGUUCUUUUCUUUUUUCUUUGUUUGGCUGUUAUAUGUUUUAUACAUUUCCUACAAUAAAUAUGUAUUUAUUUUCAUUUGAAAUUGAUUAUAAUACGUUUGCUUAAAGUUAGAGUGGGGUAUUUAAGUAACUGAAUAAAGAAGUAAGGUGAGGAAUAAUGUGAAAGAAAUUGAUGUCUUUAGGUGGAAGAGAGUAAAGAUUAAAAAGAAUGUUUUGAGGAAUGGGGUAGAAUUUGAGUGACAGUGAAGGCUCACUUGGAGAGACCAAAUUUUGGUAUGUUGAGCAUUCAAGGGGGGAAUCGAAGUCAGUAUUUUGUAGAUCUUGGACUUAAACCUAUCUGGC